rnacentral:rRNA from 1 species
GAUGAACGCUGGCGGCGUGCCUAAUACAUGCAAGUCGAGCGAACGGACGAGAAGCUUGCUUCUCUGAUGUUAGCGGCGGACGGGUGAGUAACACGUGGAUAACCUACCUAUAAGACUGGGAUAACUUCGGGAAACCGUAGCUAAUACCGGAUAAUAUUUUGAACCGCAGGGUUCAAAAGUGAAAGACGGUCUUGGGGUAAGUUAUCGAUGGAUCCGCGCUGCAUUAGCUAGUUGGUAAGGUUACGGCUUACGAAGGCAACGAUGCAUAGCCGAGCUGUGAGAGUGAUCGCCCACAUUGGAACUUAGCCACGUUCCAUACUCCUAAGGUAGGCAGCAGUAUGGAAUCUUCCGCAGUGGGCGAAAGCCUGACGGAGCAACGCCGCGUGAGUGAUGAAGGUCUUCGGAUCGUAAAACUCUGUUAUUAGGUAAGAACAUAUGUGUAAGUAACUGUGCACAUCUUGACGGUACCUAAUCAGAAAGCCACGGCUAACUACGUG